rnacentral:rRNA from 1 species
AGCGGGAAGAGCUCAAAGUUAAAAUCGGGGUUCUGAGAGGAGCUUCCGAAUUGUAAUCUAGAGACACUUUUUCAGCUUCGACCCGGGUAUAAAUCUUUUGAAACGAGGUGUCAUAGAGGGUGAGAAUCCCGUCUUUGAUCCGGAGUUCGGGGCGUACGAAGGGUGUUCCAAGAGUCGAAUAGCUUGGGAAUGCUGUUCUAAAUGGGUGGUAAAUUUCAUCUAAAGCUAAAUAUCGACGAGAGACCGAUAGCGAACAAGUACCGUGAGGGAAAGAUGAAAAGAACUUUGAAAAGAGAGUUAAAAAGUACUUGAAAUUGUUAAGAAGGAAGCACUGGAAACCAGUUGUGCUGGCUUUACAUAGACACUACGUUGGUGAGAGGGCAAAUCGACACCUCAAAAGGUCGACCAAACUUCAAAGCUAGCGUAGUGUUCUCGUAAGGUUGGUGAGUCAGGAUCGGUUCUGUUCACGGAAGAAAGCCAACGGAAGGUAGUCCGCUCUCAGCGAUGGGAGUAGAAACUUAUAGCCGUUGGCCAACCCGGGGAUGGGACCGAGGUACAUCAACAAUACGUUCCGCAAGGCUGCAGGUGGGGGUCCCUUGCUGGCGGUGGGUUUGAAGAGCAAAGCUCUGCAGAGCUCACCGUUGGUUACUGGGCUUUCACUUGACCACGUAUUCGAGAUCUUGACGAAAUGGUUUUCAUUGACCCGUCUUGAAACACGGACCAAGGAGUCUAACAUAUAUGCGAGUAUUUGGGUGUGAAAACCCUGAUGCGCAAUGAAAGUGAAGCCAGACUUUUGUUUGGUGAGGUAGGAACCGCAAGGGGCACUAUCGACCGAUCGUUCAUUUAUGAAAGAUUUGAGUAAGAGCAUAUCUGUUGGGACCCGAAAGAUGGUGAACUAUGCCUGAUCAGGGUGAAGCCAGGGGAAACUCUGGUGGAGGCUCGUAGCGAUACUGACGUGCAAAUCGUUCGUCUGAAUUGGGUAUAGGGGCGAAAGACUAAUCGAACCAUCUAGUAGCUGGUUCCCGCCGAAGUUUCCCUUAGGAUAGCUGGAACUUAUACAGUUUUAUCAGGUAAAGCUAAUGAUUAGAGGUCCUAGAGUUGAAACAACUUUAACCUAUUCUCAAACUUUAAAUAGGUAAGAAAUCUAUGCUUUCUUUAUUGAAGCUAGAUCUCGAAUGAAAGUUCUUAGUGGGCCAUUUUUGGUAAGCAGAACUGGCGAUGCGGGAUGAACCGGACGUUAAGUUAAGGUGCCAAACUAUUCGCUCAUCUAGAUACUCCUAAAAGGUGUUGGUUCAUUUAGACAGCAGGACGGUGGUCAUG